GGGUGCGAUCAUACCAGCGUUAAUGCACCGGAUCCCAUCAGGACUCCGCAGUUAAGCAUGUUUGGGCUAGAGUAGUACUGGGAUGGGUGACCUCCCGGGAAGUCCUAAUCUUGCACCCUC
rnacentral:rRNA from 1 species